UAUAUGGCUAAACUUGUGACGAAUAAAAGUUCUACACACAUUUUAUUAAGCGAUUCUUCAGAACUUUUAUUCAUAUGAAAGCCAAGGGAAACUGGGAAUUGGGGGAAGGGCUCUUUUUCGAGGAGAGACUAGCAGCGUGUCUUGGAUUUACACAGUGGAUUGCAUACAGAGGCAGCUAGAAGUCACGACAGAGUUAUGAGAUGGCAUGCAUCUUGUACCGGAGAUCCAAGGCAUACGGGAAAAGAAAUACCUUAAAGCAACCAACAAUAUAUUGUUUAA
rnacentral:lncRNA from 1 species